ACUUUACAAUGCGAGCAAUCGUGAUAAGGAAACCCUGAGUGCCUGUCAAUGCAGGCUGUUCUGGUGUCUAACACACACCAGGAGAAAGGGCGGGGCAAGACCGGUGCCAGCCGCCGCGGUAAUACCGGCUGCUCGAGUGAUAGCCACUUUUACUGGGCUUAAAGCGUUCGUAGCUUGGUCGUUAAGUCUCUGGGGAAAUCUUUUGGCUCAACCAAAAGGCGUCUCAGGGAAACUGACGAUCUUGGAACCGGGAGAGGUAAGACGUACUUCGGGGGUAGGAGUGAAAUCUUGUAAUCCCCGAGGGACGACCGAUGGCGAAGGCAUCUUACCAGAACGGCUUCGACAGUGAGGGACGAAAGCUGGGGGAGCAAACCGGAUUAGAUACCCGGGUAGUCCCAGCCGUAAACGAUGUGCGUUAGGUGUGUCAGUGACCACGAGUCGCUGAGGUGCCGAAGGGAAACCGUGAAACGCACCGCCUGGGAAGUACGGCCGCAAGGCUGAAACUUAA
rnacentral:rRNA from 1 species